UUGUGGGCAGGACAUCUGCUGUUCCACAGAGGCUGUAGAGAAAUCAGUGUUGGAAGGGUUUGGAAAUAAUUACAAGGUGUUUGAUUAGGGAAAUGUUCAUCAAAGAAGCUGUUACUAAGUUAAAUAUCAAGAAAUGAUGACAUGGUGAAUUCAAGAUGUAAAUUACAUAUUGAAGAUUUUACUAUAAGCAGAAAUAGCGCUUACUGAAUUCCUGUGGGUUCUGAUUCAGGACCGAAGCACUUCCUUACUGCGGGCUGAAAGAUAAUGGAAGUGAAAAACCAUUUUCCUUUUCCCAAGGCAGUAUUUAGAGGUGGAGAAAUAUCCGUAACUUUGAUUUCUGCUUUAUGAGCAAGGGAAGGGACCUAACAACUCACUGAGAAGAGUGCUCUGUGUGGGGUACCGAGCCUUGACUGGAACUGCAAGGAUGUUCCUGGAGCAAGCCUUCAAAAACUGACUUGUCAGCUUCAGAGCUGCAACUCACUGAAGGUCAUCAAUAAAUCUUCUAGAUUUUUUUCCUUAUACAGCUUAUAUGGUCCUUUCUUUGAAAAGCUGAUAUGUGCUUGUUUUGUACUCUUGACAUUACUAUGCAUGUACUUCGAGGCCUAUUUCAAAGUUUUGCUAUCACCGUUGCCUUUUAGAUUUGAAACUGUUUUCCCUCCAUGUGAAGUGUUGUGCUUGGAACAUCUCCACGGUUGUCCAUGAGAGUUCUGGCAGGGGUUGCUCCCCUGGAACAAAAGGGAAAUAUGCUGUGAUAUGUCUCAGACACUGAAAGCGUUGCUUGUUCCUCCUCUUCUUCCUGACUGGAGUUCCAGUGAUUGUUGCAGUUCUAUCAUCACCCACAUUGGUAAAAAGGGAGGCUUCAUUUCUUGCAACUACUACCGCAAAGAUGGGUCCUAAGUACUUUUAUUUAGGAAUAUGAGGGUAUAUUUAUGGCUUUAAAAUGAUCAUCAGUAUAUUCUUCUAUUG
rnacentral:lncRNA from 1 species